rnacentral:rRNA from 1 species
AACGAACGCUGGCGGCAUGCCUAACACAUGCAAGUCGAACGAGACCUUCGGGUCUAGUGGCGCACGGGUGCGUAACGCGUGGGAACCUGCCCUUAGGCUCGGAAUAACUCCCCGAAAGGGGUGCUAAUACCGGAUAAUGUCUUCGGACCAAAGAUUUAUCGCCUUUGGAUGGGCCCGCGUUGGAUUAGCUAGUUGGUAGGGUAAAAGCCUACCAAGGCGUCGAUCCAUAGCUGGUCUGAGAGGAUGAUCAGCCACACUGGGACGAAGACACGGCCCAGACUCCUACGCGAGGCAGCAGUGGGUAAUAUAGGACGAUGGGGGAAGGCCUGAUCCAGCAAUGCCGCGUGAGUGAUGAAGGCCUUAGGGUUGUAAAGCUCUUUUACCCGGGAUGAUAAUGACGGUACCGGGAGAAUAAGCUCCGGCUAACUCCGUG